AAGUGUUGAUUGAUCACAGUUGAACUCCCAUCGGGUUGGCUGCACGAUGAAGGCAUUUCUUAUACUGGUACUGGGCCUCGCCGCCCUGGCCGCGGCUCGGCCUGAAUACGAUGACAACACCUUCGUGAACAUGGAUAUCAAACAAAGGCAAAUCUUCAUCUUGAAGUUGUUGAACCACGUGACGGAACCUGUUAUGUACAAGGAAAUCGAGGAUAUUGGCAAGAAUUUCAAGAUUGAAGACAACGUCGAAUUUUACACUAAAACCGAUGUUGUGAAGACCUUUGUCAAUAUGGUUAAGAUCGGUACGCUGCCACGAGGUGAAGUUUUCACUCUGCACGUCGACCGCCAGCUGAAGGAAGUUGUUAACAUGUUCCACCUUCUGUACUACGCUAAGGACUUCACCACAUUCAUCAAGACCGCUUGCUGGAUGCGUCUUUACCUCAACGAAGGCAUGUUUGUAUACGCUCUCACUGUUGCUGUCAGACACCGCACUGACUGCAAAGGCAUCAUCCUUCCUCCUCCCUACGAAAUCUAUCCUUACUACUUCGUACGCGCCGACGUCAUCCAGAAGGCUUACUUACUCAAAAUGAGGAGAGGACUCCUUGAUCUCAAGCUCUGCGACUUCUACGGCAUUAAAAAGACUGAGAAAGACGUAUACAUCAUUGAUGAGAAUGUAUAUGACAAACGCGUGAACUUAAACGUAGAAGACAAGCUCCGAUACUUCACUGAAGAUAUUGACUUAAACACUUACUAUUACUACUUCCACAUUGACUAUCCGUUCUGGAUGAAGGAUCAGAUUUACGACAAAUUCAAUGUCAGACGUUUCGAGCUUACGCUGUACAUGUACCAACAAAUCCUGGCUAGAUACUACCUUGAGCGCUUGUCCAACGGAUUAGGUAAAAUUCAUGAACUGUCCUGGUACAAGCCCAUCCAAAAGGGAUACUGGCCAUGGCUGAAGCUUCACAACGGUGUUGAAAUCCCAGUAAGGUUCAACAACUACGUUAUUGCUAGAGACGACAAUGUUGACGUCAUCCGUCUGCGAGGACUAC